GACGAACGCUGGCGGCGUGCUUAACACAUGCAAGUCGAACGAAGAGCGACGGAAGCUUGCUUCUAUCAAUCUUAGUGGCGAACGGGUGAGUAACGCGUAAUCAACCUGCCCUUCAGAGGGGGACAACAGUUGGAAACGACUGCUAAUACCGCAUACGAUCUAAUCCUCGGCAUCGAGGAUAGAUGAAAGGUGGCCUCUACAUGUAAGCUAUCACUGAAGGAGGGGAUUGCGUCUGAUUAGCUAGUUGGAGGGGUAACGGCCCACCAAGGCGAUGAUCAGUAGCCGGUCUGAGAGGAUGAACGGCCACAUUGGGACUGAGACACGGCCCAGACUCCUACGGGAGGCAGCAGUGGGGAAUCUUCCGCAAUGGACGAAAGUCUGACGGAGCAACGCCGCGUGAGUGAUGACGGCCUUCGGGUUGUAAAGCUCUGUUAAUCGGGACGAAAGGCCUUCUUGCGAAUAGUGAGAAGGAUUGACGGUACCGGAAUAGAAAGCCACG
rnacentral:rRNA from 1 species